rnacentral:tRNA from 1 species
GGGAAUGUGGCUUAGUGGUAGAGUGCUUGCCUCAAUUCAUGCAGCCCUGGGUUCAAUUCCUCAGUAUUACUA